rnacentral:rRNA from 1 species
UACAGAGGGUGCAAGCGUUAAUCGGAUUUACUGGGCGUAAAGCGUGCGUAGGUGGUUUGUUAAGUCAGGCGUGAAAUCCUCGGGCUCAACCCGAGAACUGCGCUUGAUACUGAUGAACUCGAGUGUGGUAGAGGAUAGUGGAAUUCCCGGUGUAGCGGUGAAAUGCGUAGAUAUCGGGAGGAACAUCAGUGGCGGAGGCGGCUAUCUGGACCAACACUGACACUGAGGUACGAAAGCGUGGGUAGCAAACAGG